GAGGGAGCGAGGCUAGACCUCUUGAGGAGGCUCUCCCCUUCGGCGGCGGGGGUUGGAGAGAGAGGCUGAAACUAGGCGACGGCGAGGCUAGGAGUGGGGGUGGCAGCCGCUGGGAGUGGAUCAGGCCGGGGUCUAGCGCUUCCGCGAGGGUCAGGCCGCUGCCGGCACGGGUGCGGCUAGACCUGGUCCUAAGGAGUACGUCUGGGCCACUUAGGUGGGUGGUUCGUGUGCGUCGCGGGCGGACGAGGGUGGGGACGUAAAGGGCCGGUCAAGUAGUCUCUAAGUUCUAGCCCAACAAGGGGCACAAGAACCGAAGACGCCCGAGAUUAGCAAACGUAACCACCAACAACGACGUCCAUCCGCCGGUCGCCGUCCUACUUCCGGUUCUGUCCGAGGGCGUGGCCGCUGAGGGAACGACGACCGCCGUCCUACUUCCGGUUCCGUCCGAGGGCGUGGCCGCUGAGGGAACGACGACCGCCAACCUACUUCCGGUUCCGAGCGCCACUUCUUCUCGUUCCGGCUGUUCCUGGGGUUGUUCGGGUUCGCGGGGGGCUCGCGGAAGAAGCAGAAGCGUCCCCGUGGAAGUCCUUCCUCAUGUUCCUCUUCGUGGGCUGUAGUACGUCCAGAGACACCAUUCGAAGAGCCAGGGCAAGGCGAGCGGGGGCGGACCAACCAACUAGACACGUACUGUGAUAUACGAACCAAUCAACCGGUUACAUAUAAUAACAUAAGUGAAACAUGUCGAUCAGGUGUUGAAAAGAAUACAACGUCAUAGACACAUAAGUGAGACAACGGUGACUUGUAACGUUAGUAAGUUAAUAAGAUGAAACAAACAGAAC
rnacentral:rRNA from 1 species